UCGAGAAUCUUCCGCAAUGGGCGCAAGCCUGACGGAGCAAUGCCGCGUGUAGGAUGAAGGUCUUUGGAUUGUAAACUACUGUCACCGGGGACGAAUUAUGACGGUACCCGGGGAGGAAGCCACGGCUAACUACGUGCCAGCAGCCGCGGUAAUACGUAGGUGGCGAGCGUUGUUCGGAAUUAUUGGGCGUAAAGGGUUCGUAGGAUGUUUUUUAAGAUUGGUGUGAAAUCCCAAGGCUCAACCUUGGAACUGCAUUGAUGACUGAGAAACUAGAGUAUCGUAGAGGAAAGCGGAAUACCAGGUGUAGCGGUGGAAUGCGUAGAUAUCUGGUAGAACACCGACAGCGAAGGCAGCUUUCUGGGCGAAAACUGACUCUGAGGAACGAAAGCGUGGGUAGCAA
rnacentral:rRNA from 1 species